UUACAAUGCGGGAAACCGUGAUAAGGGAACUCCGAGUGCCCGUUAAAUCGGGCUGUCCAUCAGUUUAAAAAACUGGUGAAGAAAGGGCCGGGCAAGACCGGUGCCAGCCGCCGCGGUAAUACCGGCGGCUCGAGUGGUGGCCACUAUUACUGGGCUUAAAGCGUUCGUAGCUGGUUUGUUAAGUCUCUGGGGAAAUCUUCCGGCUUAACCGGAAGGCGUCUCAGGGAUACUGGCAGACUAGGGACCGGAAGAGGUGAGGGGUACUCCAGGGGUAGGAGUGAAAUCCUGUAAUCCUUGGGGGACCACCUGUGGCGAAGGCGCCUCACCAGGACGGCUCCGACAGUGAGGGACGAAAGCUGGGGGAGCAAACCGG
rnacentral:rRNA from 1 species